rnacentral:rRNA from 1 species
UAGUGGCAAACGGGUGAGUAACACGUAGACAACCUGCCAAUAGGAUGGGGACAACAUUCCGAAAGGAAUGCUAAUACCGAAUGAAGUGCAGGGAAGGCAUCUUCCCUGCAUGAAAGAUGGCCUCUAUAUAUAAGCUAUCACCUAUUGAUGGGUCUGCGUCUGAUUAGCUGGUAGGUAAGGUAACGGCUUACCUAGGCGACGAUCAGUAGCCGGUCUGAGAGGAUGAACGGCCACAUUGGGACUGAGACACGGCCCAGACUCCUACGGGAGGCAGCAGUGGGGAAUCUUCCGCAAUGGGCGCAAGCCUGACGGAGCAACGCCGCGUGAGUGAAGAAGGUCUUCGGAUCGUAAAGCUCUGUUGAAGGGGGCGAACGUACGCAGUGCGAAU